UGCUAAACACAGAAGCUUGGAAGAGUGUGUCAAUGUGUGGUAGUUCUCAGUUCGACGAUGAACGCCAUCAAGAUUCUUUGCUUUUUUAUUACUGUCUCAGAGGUGAGUGUAAUCAGCAUGGCUGCUGAGGUUCCAUUGCAACAGAAUUCCCAUCAGACAGCAGCCAACCAACAUGGUAGGAAGUUUGUGAUUGGAUUGGGUAUGAGAUUGUUCUCAGCCAAAGAGAGGUACUUUUAAAUGGUAGGGCCAUGUUACAUGGAGCACCAGGUGCAGUUAAUACUUUAUGUAUGUCAUAAUAGACAAUAGUCCAGACAAUAUCAAUCUGCAGAAUCUGCAGAUCUGCGAGCUACUUGGACCUCACAGUGUUGAGAGUUUUGCAUUU